AGAGGGUGCGAGCGUUAAUCGGAAUGACUGGGCGUAAAGGGCGCGUAGGUGGUUAUAUAAGAGAGAUGUAAAAGUCCCGGGCUUAACCUGGGAAGGCCAUCUGAGACUGUAUGACUAGAGAGCAGUAGAGGUAAGCGGAAUUUCCGGUGUAGCGGUGAAAUGCGUAGAGAUCGGAAGGAACACCAGAGGCGAAGGCGACUUACUGGACUGCAUCUGACACUGAGGCGCGAAAGCGUGGGGGUAGCGAACAGGAUUAGAUACCCUGGUAGUCCACGCCGUAAACGAUGAGAACUAGCCGUUGGCUUCGUAAAGGAGUCAGUGGCGCAGCUAACGCAUUAGUUCUCCGCCUGGGGAGUACGGCCGCAAGGUUA
rnacentral:rRNA from 1 species